CAACCAAAACCACCCUCCCUCCUCCAAACGCAAAUCCGCACCCCGAAAUCCCCAUUUCCCCUCUCCCCCCUUCCUCUUCUUCCCGCCGCAGCAGGCGAGCGCGAAACCGAGGAGCGGAGGCGGAGGCGGAGAGAUGGAGUCGGACCAGGGGAAGCUCUUCAUCGGCGGCAUCUCGUGGGAGACGACUGAGGACAAGCUGAGCGAGCACUUCUCCGCCUACGGCGAGGUCACCCAGGCCGCCGUCAUGCGCGACAAGCUCACCGGCCGCCCCCGCGGCUUCGGCUUUGUCGUAUUCGCCGACCCCGCCGUCGUCGACCGCGCGCUGCAGGACCCCCACACCCUCGACGGCCGCACGGUCGAUGUAAAGCGGGCGCUCUCGCGGGAGGAGCAGCAGGCCUCCAAGGCCGCGAACCCUAGCGUCGGGAGGAACUCAGGUGGUGGCGGAGGCGGCGGCGGCGGUGGCGACGCGGGGGGUGUUCGGACGAAGAAGAUCUUUGUGGGCGGGUUGCCCUCCACUCUGACGGAGGACGGGUUCCGGCAGUACUUCGAGACCUUCGGGAUUGUAACCGAUGUCGUCGUGAUGUACGACCAGAACACACAGCGCCCACGGGGGUUUGGGUUCAUUACCUUUGACUCAGAGGACGCUGUUGACCGCGUGCUGCACAAGACCUUCCACGAUCUGGGUGGGAAGAUGGUGGAGGUGAAGCGUGCGCUGCCCCGGGAGGCAAACCCUGGCACCGGUGGCGGGCGUUCCAUGGGAGGUGGGGGUUAUCAGAGCAACAAUGGAUCUAACUCCAACACUGGCAGCUAUGACAGUAGAGCUGAUGCUAGCAGAUAUGGGCAGGUGCAGCAGGGGAGCGGUGGCUAUCCAAGCUAUGGCACGGUAGGUUAUGGUGCUGGUGCGACUGGGUAUGGAUAUGGUGCUAACCCUGGAGGUGGAUAUGGAAAUUAUGGAGCUGGAGGAUAUGGAGGUGUUCCUGCUGGGUAUGGUGGACCUUAUGGAAAUCCAAGUGCAGCUGGUUCUGGUUACCAAGGUGGUCCUCCAGGCUCAAAUAGAGGACCCUGGAGCAGUCAAGCUCCAUCUGCUUAUGGCGCUGGAAGUUAUGGUGGCAAUACAGGCUAUGGUGCUUGGAACAGCUCUUCUGGUGGUGGCAAUGCGCCCACUAGUCAGGCCCCUGGUGCAGCUGUGGGCUAUGGGAGCCAGGGCUACGGGUAUGGUGGAUAUGGAGGGGAUGGGUCAUAUGCUAGUCAUGGAGGAUAUGGAGCUUAUGGAGCGCGUAAUGAUGGUGCUGGCAAUCCUGCUACUGGUGGAGCAUCUGGAUAUGGUGCAGGGUAUGGCAGUGGGACUGGCAACUCUGGUUAUCCAAAUGCUUGGAGUGAUCCGUCACAAGGUGGUGGGUUUGGCGGUUCAGUCAACGGAGGUUCCGAAGGACAAUCAAAUUAUGGCAGCGGCUAUGGCAGUGUGCAACCUAGGGUUGCUCAGUAAGAGAGGCAAUUAUUGUCUUUGAAAUGAACCAGCACAUGUGGGAAGUCUAUGUAUUGUUGUGUUGCUCUGGCCUCACUGAUUGCUCUCAGCCUCCUCAAGAUCGCCCAUUUGCUGGUUGAAUCAGUAUUUCUCCUGGUUGAAUGGGAUGACAUUCCGUUUUAGAGAUGUCCAAGCGAGGGCUAUUAAAUCAGCCAUAUGAAAAAGGCAGGUGAAAUACACUGAUUUUUGCACGAUGAGCUGGUGGAAAGUUUCAAUCUUGAAGAGCUGACAGAGUCCAAGAUACCAGCUUUUAAGUGCUUCAUUUUCUGAAGGGUCUUGUGCUGUGCUACGAGAUGUGAUGUUGAAACAGCUUAUUCUAUGGAAUAGAGGCAUGGGCUAGCUCAAAGAUUGACAUGAACACUUGCCUCCAACGCCUAGUGCCAUGAUAGAAUCAUGUCUUCUCAAGUGGUACUAGGCAAAAAAGUUACAAGGUUAUGUAUUCCAUUGUUUGGGAGCCAUUUAGAGGGAUUUUCUAUUGCACAUGGCGAGGUCAAGUUCAUAUGCAUCUAAUCAGAACGUCAACCUCUCAAUUAGCUUGAAUUUAUUUCAAAAGGCUUGCAUUUUGAGAUGCCUGCAUCUAUCAGGCAAUACCUGUAAGUUCUACUUCUCAAUAAAAAUUAAAAAUAUGUACCCUUUGAGAUAAGGAAUGUCAACUUAAAUGUUCUGAAUAGUCUGAACUUCUACCCCAUUGAAGCAGAUGGUAUUGACAUAAAGUGUCUGAGCUCCAUAGGCGAUAAUUAGCUAAUUACCAAGAACUACGUUACAUUUGUCUGAGAGUUCCGUAUCAAGCUUCUGCAUUUCCUUCACCAUCAGUGCAUAUUUACCAAGAGCUGUUGUCUGUGAACUACAUGUUACCUGCCCAUUUGUAUCGUGUUCGUUCUAUAGAUCUAGUAGCCUGGCAGUCGAAUGAGAUCAUAUGUUCUAUGAGCAGAUAGUGACAUGGAGAUGGAGUGUGGUGAUUGCAUGAUUUCUCUUUUCUGUCACUUCUCUCGAUCAAUUCUUGAAAGUGUCAAUGUUGAACAAUUUAUUUCUCUGCAUGUUUGAGGUCUU